rnacentral:rRNA from 1 species
UACGUAGGGUGCAAGCGUUGUCCGGAUUUAUUGGGCGUAAAGAGCUCGUAGGCGGUCUGUCGCGUCGAAUGUGAAAGCCCAGGGCUCAACCCUGGGUCUGCAUCCGAUACGGGCAGACUAGAGUAUGGCAGGGGAGACUGGAAUUCCUGGUGUAGCGGUGAAAUGCGCAGAUAUCAGGAGGAACACCGGUGGCGAAGGCGGGUCUCUGGGCCAAAACUGACGCUGAGGAGCGAAAGCGUGGGGAGCGAACAGG